rnacentral:rRNA from 1 species
AUUGAACGCUGGCGGCAUGCCUUACACAUGCAAGUCGAACGGCAGCACGGGAGCAAUCCUGGUGGCGAGUGGCGAACGGGUGAGUAAAGUAUCGGAACGUGCCCAGUCGUGGGGGAUAACGUAGCGAACGUUACGCUAAUACCGCAUACGAUCUAUGGAUGAAAGCGGGGGAUCGCAAGACCUCGCGCGAUUGGAGCGGCCGAUAUCAGAUUAGGUGGUUGGUGGGGUAAAGGCUCACCAAGCCGACGAGCUGUAGCUGGUCUGAGAGGACGAGCAGCCACACUGGGACUGAGACACGGCCCAGACUCCUACGGGAGGCAGAAGUGGGGAAUUUUGGACAAUAGGCGCAAGCCUGAUCCAGCCAUGCCGCGUGCAGGAUGAAGGCCUUCGGGUUGUAAACUGCUUUUGUACGGAACGAAAAGGUUUGGCUUAAUACGUUGAACUCAUGACGGUACCGUAAGAAUAAGCACCGGCUAACUACGUGCCAGCCGCCGCAGUAA